GAAUGUCUUGGAAAUAGGGUACAGUUUAUCCUCCCUGGUUCUUUGAGUGCAGGAGGUCUUUUAGAGCUUUAUGCAGUCAACGACACACAGACAGUCCUUCUCACACCUCACCUGGCGGCUCAGUGUGGCUAUACACAGAAAUCUGAUCCUUGGGGGAAUAAGGUAGUGUCAGCUUCCCUACAGAGUUGUUUUUGCAGAGAACCAGGGUGACAAGGAAUUUUGAGUAGCCAUGCAGUUUAAACCGUAUGAAUUCCCCACGCUAUCUGAGAAAGUCCAUGAAGUGUUCAAGUUCUGCAGUCACACCAUGACUGCACGUAAGAUUUUGUGUGAGACAAACUUUA